UCUUUAAGCAGCUGCUGUACCUUCUGGGUCAUCCAGGGCUUCCUGUUGGGGUACACCUGGACGGUCUUGUCCACUGGGACAUUGUUUCUGCA